rfam:Phialocephala scopiformis strain CBS 120377 unplaced genomic scaffold LY89scaffold_1, whole genome shotgun sequence.
GGCGCUUUGGCGGAGUGGUUAUCGCGCUAGCCUAGAAAGCUAGUUCCUUCGGGAGCAAGAGUUCGAAUCUCUUAGGCGUCG